rnacentral:lncRNA from 1 species
AGGUCACGAAGGUGGUGGCGUCGCUGGAGACGCAGAUGCGGAUGCGGGUGAGGUAGUCCUGGUACAGCAACGGCCACGCCGUGUACCUCCUCUCGCACUCCACCGAGAAGGAAGAGGACCCCAGAGUGGUCGCCAGCGCCUCCGUGAUAUCUUUCAAGUUGUAGGUAACGCUCGCGUCCGGGACGAUACCUUCCAUGAGCGCAGGAGAAUGAGCCAUGAGUACUAUGCUUAGGAGUCUGGGGUUACUGUAGAGGGUUUACCGCGGGAUUUCAGGGUGGCGAGGAUGUUGGCCUGCUCCCUCAGUAGAAGUGUCCGGUUGAAGUACACCACCUCGCUGAGGCUGGUGCAGUUGCCAUACGUGCACCAGACGUGUUUCCACUGCUCCAUGCCAUUGUUGCUGGGGCAGCUCAGGUUGGGCCAGUACGCGAACAGGUCCUCGAUCAGAUCCACCAGCUGUUCGCGUUCCCCAUUAAUUCCACCCACGUCAAACAACAACUCCAUCAUCAUCAAUCGCCAUGCAUCGAGCUAAUUAAAAGAGGACUCACCGGAUUGAUCAAGAAGCGGCAGUGGCUGUUGCAGUUGGUGAUGGGGUUGCCGGUGCUGCUGUCGUACGUCUCCAACGACUGCACAAGGAAGUCCGCCGCCGGCUCUCCCGUCGUCGGUAUGCAGCAAUUCUCCCCCAGGUUCACGCUUUGGCAGUAACCCCCUGGCCACUGCAAGCAACCACACAGAUUUCAUGCAACACACACAGUGCAGAGUAACUCCACCACGUAUUGAUUGACUUGGCUUCUUAUACCAGUAGGUUCAAGUAAAGCAAGUCGGGCGUGGAAGCCGCCGCUGCCGAAGAGUAACACAGGCACAAGAUCAGGCCAAGGAAGCAGAGCCGAGGAAGCGCCUCGUUCGAUCCAGCCAUUCUCGCAAGCAGGAAGCUUAAUGGGUCUGCGAAUGAGCGAGAGCAGGAAGCUGUAUUUAAAGCAUGUCCGGUGCAUGAAUUGAGGAUAUAAACAAUAAAAUAAUUAUCAGAGGAGGAAGCGCAUGUUUUCAUCGUGCUUGGGUACGACGUUGUCUGGGUCCCUCGAUCAAUAAUUGGUGUGGAGACAGAGAGUACUCUUAUUCAUAUUUUCAACAGCACAGACAUCCAAGGAACAGUCAAUGUUGUCUUUUGAAUCAGUGAGAAGACGAGAGAGAGGACAUGGGACGAGGACACCCGACGGUCUUGGCGGUGGCUGAAAUGGCUGGUUGGUGGAUGCGGCGGAACAGGGGAGUCCCCCGCAUGCACGUGUUUCACGUUGGAUUACGUAUUUGUGGUGGGCGAGAGGAUAAUAUCAUAAAAGAAAAGAGAAGGCCAUUUGGGAGAAGUGAUUCCAUGUCUUCGUUUAUUGGGCAUUGUGACUUCAUGGCAGCAACUCGUUGAUGUGUACUUUGAGAUAAUAGAUCAUACUAUUACAGUGCUAGGGAUCAAGCUUCUUCGAGCGAGUAAAUCUCUGCUCUACUCCAUGAAUAAUAGAUCAUACUAUUACAGUGCUAGGGAUCAAGCUUUAUUUCAUCAUCGAAAACUCUCUCAUCAAUCUGCACAAUCGAUUGUGACAUCACCUUCUUUCUCGCUGACCCACCCCAAUUAGGAUUGCUACUUACUCAUCGAUGUCUUCUCUUGUUAUUGGAUAUAAUCGGUGUCAUCCUCCAUUUUUUGCAACAAUCAUAAUUGUCUCAACAUCAAGUAUAGUAUAAGCAAAGUCCUCUUCUUCAACUUGUGGUAUCUCUUGUGAUCACUUGUAUGAUUCAUCACCUCUCUUUCUUAGUCAUUAUUGAUCAUCAAUAUGUAUUCUUCCUCAAGGAUGAGGCUGUCCUCGUUCUUCGCCAGCAGCUUCUUCCCACGAGAUCCACGUUGGUUGCAGAUUUCUCUCUUCGAUAUGAUUCCCAUUAAUGGCGUGUUAUUACCUAUCUACAGUGCCAUUUGACGUUAUUACGUGUUGAUUCUUCACUCUUCUUCCCCAUUAUUUCUACAACUAACAAUUGACUCGAUAAUAAUGACGCACUGUUGAAACAUUUAUUAUAAUUAAAGAAGAACGUUCUCUGAAUUAUUAUUAUUUUGUUUUAAAAAAUACUUUAUUUCUACCUAAUUAAUCAAUUAUUUAAAAAAAUUGAUGAUCAAUUCAUUUUCACUAACGCAAUAAAAUUUAAUAUGUGAUUUCUUCCAAGAAAAUUAUACUAAAGAUAGAAUGUAAUAAAUGUAAUAAUAUAUAUAUAACUAAUAUUUUUAAAAUAUAUUAAAUCGGAUAAUUUUACGGAAUAAGGUUUUUAGUCGUUCGAUGUAUGAAUCUGUUAUAUCAAUAUAAAAUUAUAUUUUAGAUAUUAAAAAUAUAUACGAGAUAAUAUUUUGGUGCAGUAAUAUAUGUUUAAGAAACACCACUUUUAUUACUGCAGGUGUGAAGAUGAUGCGACUUUACAACUCGGGAGUAAAAGACGACGCGACAGCUCACGUCACCAUAAGUGCAUGCAUGUGGAUCACGCCAAGCAGAAGAAGACAGGCUUAAAGCAGUUCCUCCAUCACAGUGCCAUAUCGUCGCCGGAGGGCAACUCGAUCACUGUGCUGGAAACGGCGUCGUCUUCACGGCCGUGCAGUGGGUACGACACAGGGGGGAACUUGACCGUGUCGCUGCAGUUACUCUCCCUGCCGUUGGGGCAGCUGAUGAUCGAUCUCCCGUCGCUGGAGACGCAGACGCGGAUCUGGGAGAGGUAGUCGUUGUAGAUUAAAGGCCAGAGAAUGUAAUUCCUGGUGCACACCACCGUGAACGAGAACCCGAUCCUGGGCACCAACGCGUCGUUGAUGUCCUCCAGGCUGUAGCUCUUCGUCUCCGACGGGAUGAUGGCUUGAGAUCAGGAACAGAUCCAUGCGUUAGCUGCAGACACUUGUAAGCUCGAGGUCGGCAUGCAGGGCAGGGCUGCUUACCUUUGGAGCCGAGGGCAUGGAGGACGUCGGCUCGAGCCCGGAGCUGAAGCGCCCGGCCGAAGUAAUUCACCUCGCUAAGGCUGGUGCAGUUGCCGUAGGUACACCAGGCGGCCUUCCACACCUGCUUCCCGUUCUGGGCUGGGCAGCUCAAGCUGGGCCAGUAGGCGUUCAAGUCGUUCAUCAGAUCGUUAAGCUGUGGCAUGCGCAGAGUGAUCAGUGUGGGUCGGGAGCAGCGGAGAUCAUCGACUGCAUAGAUCCAAUCAGGCCUAUUACCGGGUUCAACAAGAAGCGGCAGCUGGGUUCGCAGUUGGCGACGAGCUUGCCGGUGGCGCUGUCGUAGGUCUCCAUGGUCUCCACCAGGAAGUCUGGCUCGGGGUUUUCGAUGAGCGGGUCAACGCAGCAGGUCGGCUGCCAGAACCACCCUGGCUGGCAGCGAGUCCCCGGCCACUGCAGGAGUCACGAUCCGUUAGACUUCAUUAACAGUUUACCGUACAAGAAAGGCUUUCUGUAAAGCCGAGAGAGAGAGAGAGAGAGAGGAAUAGGUACUAUGAGAGACAGGAUCAUGUAGUCGUAUGAAGCAGCUGCUAGCGCACAAGAGGCGGCGCACAAGAGGAAGCAGAACGUGGGAAGAGCCUUUGAGCCAGCCAUUCUGCAGAGGUGGAGAGGAUGAUCGGGGGAGAGACGCUUCGUGAGGUGAUGAGUCUGAUGGCUCUAUAUAAGCACUACAUUGAAGACACACCCACCUACUGAUAAUUGUUGGACUAAUAAUGCACCGCGAUUGCUGUUAGGGGGGUCUUAAAAUAAUGCACUUCGCAUAAAAUGUCGUACACCAACAUGAAACAUGAGGGACAUUCCCGCAUAUCGCAAGCAUAGUGGGUUGCAAAAUGCAAGGAAAGAAAGUAAGGAAUUUAUUUGAUUAUGGUCUCUCAUAGCUAUAAGAUUAUGGUCUCUCGUAGCUAUAUGGACUAUGUGACAUCGUCAAACCACGAUGUCACCUCCACCCUCCACCCCACCAGCCACUGGACCCUUUCCAUACAUUACAAUCAUUAAUCUUGAUGGAGGUGAACGAGAGAUAAUCAUAAGUAUUUUUCCUCUCUUCUCUUUUGUAUGACUCAUCGUAUUAGAUAUUAUCGUACGCUUCACGCACAUAUUGUUUUACUCACCUGAUCGAGCAACGAUAAUAGUGUGAUAGAAGCGAGCAAGGGAUACUCCUUCGACUAAGGGGCUUGAAAUCUAAGAGAUAGAAAAGGGAUUGAGGAUAAAGACACGAGCAAGAGAUAAUAUAAUUUUAUGACGAAUAAGAGUUAAAGAGUAAGAUGAGAAUGACUAUAUGAUGCGAAUAAAACAAAAAAGUGACAUUAGUAGAAUAAAAAGUAAAAAANNNNNNNNNNNNNNNNNNNNNNNNNNNNNNNNNNNNNNNNNNNNNNNNNNNNNNNNNNNNNNNNNNNNNNNNNNNNNNNNNNNNNNNNNNNNNNNNNNNNCGUGUUAUUAUCUAUCGGCAAACAAUUGACUUGAUAAUUGAUAAGGCAUAUAUUUAGGAUCUCGGCCACGUCGCGAUCCACGCCACGUCACACUCCUGCAGAUUCAACACAAGGGUUGCCUUCCUUCCACGUCGAGUUGGAGCUCGUAUAGGGAGGCACCCUCUCAACAAGUCCCUUCCCAGAAAGCUUGGGACGUUGUCCCAUGGCGUCGUUCCGCGCAUACCGGGUGACGAUUACACGAAGGUACGAUCUUGGGGGUAUCGAUCGUCAAGUCAAAUCCGCGUAUAAUCGAUCCUCGGACAAUAGUAUAAAAUCCCUUGACCGGCAUCUGGCUAGGAGACAAAGAACAGAAGAAAAAAAUCACUGACUUAGUCUACGAUGGGCCAAAGUCGGGAAUCUCCAGACCAGGGCGUGUGUGCAGGAACGUGGCCACCCCCGAACUAGCUCAAUCCCUCAUUGGAGAUGCGACCAUCCUGGCCGUUGAUCCAGACGCGACCAUCCCGACCCCUGAUCCAACUCGGCCUCGAUGCUUCUUCCAAUCGAUCGAGAGGCGCACUCCCGAACGUCGAAAACUCUGGACAUCGACAUGUGAACCAAAACGUGCCGACUCCUCGACCACGGCACGUAAGUUCACCAACAAAAAUAACGACGCAUUGUUGAAACAUUGAUUAUAAUCAAAGAAGAACGUUCUCAAAAUUAUUUUAAAAAAUAUUUUAUUUCUACCUAAUUAGUCAAUUAUUUAAAAUUUUUUUGAUGAUCAAUUCAUUUUCACUAACUCAGUAAAAUAUAAUAUUUGAAGAAAAUUAUACUGAAGAUAGAAUGUAAUAAAUGUAAUUAUAUAUAUAUAAUUAAUAUUUUUAAAAUAUAUUAAAUCGGAUAAUUUUACGGAAUAAGGUUUUGAGUCGUUCGAUGUAUGACUCUGUUAUAUCAAUAUAAGAUGAUAUUUUAGAUAUUAAAAAUAUAUACGAGACAACAUUUUGGUGCAGUUAUAUAUGUUUAAGAAAGACCACUUUUAUUACUGCAGGUGUGAAGAAGAUGCGACUCUACAACUCGGGAGUAAAAGACGAAGCGACAGCUCACAUCACCAUAAGUGCAAGCAUGUGGAUCACGCCAAGCAGAAGAAGACAGGCUUAAAGCAGUUCCUCCAUCACAGUGCCAUCUCGUCGCCGGAGGGCAACUCGAUCACUGUCUUGGAAACGGCGUCGUCUUCACGGCCUUGCAGUGGGUACGACACAGGGGGGAACUUGACCGUGUCGCCGCAGUUACUCUCCCUGCCGUUGGGGCAGCCGAUGAUCGACCUCCCGUCGCUGGAGACGCAGACGCGGAUCUGGUAGAGGUAGUCUUCGUAGAAGAAAGGCCAGAGAAUGUAAUUCCUGGUGCACACCACCGUGAACGAGAACCCGAUCCUGGGCACCAACGCGUCGUUGAUGUCGUCCAGGCUGUAGCUCUUCGUCGCGUGCGGUAUGAUCCCACUCGAGCCCAGGUUGACGAGGGGGUCCACCUUCUUCCUGAGUUGAAGCGCCCGGUCGAAGUAGAGCGACUGGUUGAGGCUGGAGCAAGUGCCGUAGGUGCACCACACGUCCUUCCAGUGGGGCAUCCCGCUGUUGCUGGGACAGGUCAGGUUGGCGUAGUACGUGUACAAGUUGUCGAGCAUGUUCACCAGCUGUCCAAACAAGACAAAGCGGUCAUCAUCGACAUCUCGGCCGAGUUAGCUCGGGUGGAGGAGGCUAACGAGACUCACCGGAAGUAUCUUGAAGACGCAGCUUCUGCUGCAGCCGGUGACCGGUUUACCGGUGGCGCUGUCGUAGGUUUCCAGGGCUUGGACGAGGAAGUCCGCCGCCGGCUCGCCAUUCGUCGGCAUACAGCACUUCCCUGUCGGUUGCGAGCUAGCACAGUAGCUUCCUGGCCACUGCAGUGAGAAGGACAUCAUACCAUCACCCAUCUUGCCAUCGAUGGUUACCACUACUGCAGGAAACCAGAACCAAGUAGAGGGUAACUAUACCAUAAGUUUCAAGAUCAGGUAGUCGGGCUUCGAAGCUGCCCUUGCCGCCGGAGAGGAAGACAAGCAUAACAGCAAGACAAGCAAGCAGAUCCCAGGAAGAGCCUUGAGGAUAGCCAUUCUGCAGGAGCUGUCGAGUUGCCUUGGUGAUGGUGGAUAAUAUAAGCCCAUCGUGGAACACACUGGUUGUGGCCUGGUGGUGGCGGGAUCCAUGGCAGCUCUAUCAAGAAAUGGCUGUCCUCGUCUCAGCCAUCAGCCUCUCCCCACGAGUUUCACGUGGCUUGCAGAUCUCAUCGCUUUCGAGAAAUGGUCGCCGUGCUGUUCACCACCAAUUUAAUGAUGACAUUAAAAUAAUGGCACAGUACAAGAUCAGAUGAUGUUCCAUGUGACUGACUUCUUUUAUUUGGACUCUCUCUCUCUCUCAUGAUUCGGGAACGGACAAGGAGAUGGAAGCAUUGAUUACAGUCGAGCCACCCAAACAACACCCCACUCCUCGCCAUCAAAUGUUCUUAUCUUCACAGACCGAACAUCAUUGAAGGGACUAAUAAGAAGAAGAUGGAUAGCAACCUGAUCGAAACAAGAACAAUGUUGAGAUGGGGAGGGGUUACGAACCGGUUCUGAGAAAGAUUUCUAGAUGUGAUUUCCUCUAAAGAAAUCAUGCAUUAAUUUGUUCUUGACCAAGUACAACAUGACUCGGAGAUUGGUAGACAAGAAAAAUGUAUUCAGAUCGUUCAUAAUUUCAUUUAAGAAAACCGAUCUAGAAGGAUUUUUUUUUGCGACAAUUAGGGAUUGAAAAUAGUCACGAUUAAGCCACUAAGUAGGGGUGAUGGUAAUUUCAGAACGGUCAAUUUUGAUUUCCGAAAUCAGCAACCGAGAAAAUAAAGAGUUAAAAAUAAUUAUAAUGAAUAUCAAAGUCUUUCCUCCAAUUACUAUAUGUUAGGAUAAAAAAUAUCGUUGAUGCGUGUAUUAGCAUGAUGUGAUCCUGAUCCGCAUACGAGGAGUCGAUAGAACAAGAUUUCUUCGAUCUCGUUCAUAUACAAAGACUAAGAUUGAAAGGGAUUUUCCGAGUUGAUUUAUCUAAUGCUUAACUUAGCACUUAGUUGCAUACAAAGACUUAUUUUUUUUUUAAUGAAGAUCCUAUAGAGAAAAAGUUCGAACUCAACUAUCUUUUUUAUUUUUAUGAUAUAUUUUUGUGAAUAUUUUUAUAGGAAAACUAGUUUAUAAUCAACUCAAACUACCUUUUAAUAUUCCUGAAAUAUUCCUACAAAUAUUUUGUAAGAAAGUCUGAAUUGUCUUAUGGGAAUAAUUCACGAUUAGCUAGUUUUUAAUUGAUCUGAAUUAUCUUCAAUUUUUUAUGAAUAUUUAAAUAUUUCAUCGAGGAGGUAGCUUAACAAAUCGGUAAUUGACCCGAGCUAUCUUUUGAGUUCGAAUAGAAAAUAUUGGCUUAAUAUGACAUUGACGUUACGAACGAUGACUAACCAAUUUAAUAUUUUCUUUCGCUAUGUGUAGUCAAACACUAUGUGAGUUGUGUUCAAACCACAAACUCUACGUAGCUAAAGAAAAAAAAAAAGGUAAGAUUAUUUUGUAUGAUCUAUAUUGAUCAAACGAUAAACAAGAAAAAAAUAGAAAAAGGUAAGAUAAGAUUAUUUUUUAUGGUCUCAUCGAAUAAAGUUUAUGUCGUCGAAACAAUUUCUAUGGUUACAAGAAUAGUGGAAGUCUCGUCAAGAGGAAACAAAAGAAUAUGGAAUAUGUGGAUCUCCUUUUUCCACGAAGGAGAGAUGGCAGAAGAAUUUUGUGUUCGAAUCCCAUCAUUUAUUUUGUAUCAAAAAAAGACACUAAUUCAACGAAAAGCUGAACACAAAUGAUGGAGAGAUGGAGUUUAGAUAUCAAACGUAUGGGAAUUUUACCUUCAUUAAGUAAAAUCCCAACUUGUUCAUGACAGGUAAUAUGCUCUGUUGUUAUUUGAUUAAUCUUAGAGACAGAGAUCAUAAAACAACAUCUUAUUCCAGUAGAUCGCAAGACGAUGAUGACAUCCUACACACAGGCAAUUCAUCAUGUUUGAGUGCCAAGAUGAUGAUGAUGACAUCCGCAUGACAAGAGGGCAGUAAUCCGUGGAUCGAUCACUGAGUCAUCGCCUUGUCCGAUGGCAACUUGAUGUGGUCGACCGCCGGAUGGCGCGGGCGCCCGAGCAUGUCGUCCGUGAACGGGUAGAACUUGACCUUGCUGCCGCAGUUGCUCUUCCUGGCGAAGGGACAACCGAUGAGAGACUUGCCGUCGGCGGAGACGCAGAUGCGGACUCUGGAGAGCAGGUAUUCCCGACUCAGCACGCCCAUCUCCGUGGUGCACUCCACCACCGCCGAGAACCCGAUCUUGGGCACCAGCGCGUCCUCGAUGUCCUCCAAACUGUAGCUCUUCGUCUCCGACGGGAUGAUGGCUUGAGAUCAGGAACAGAUCCAUGCGUUAGCUGCAGACACUUGUAAGCUCGAGGUCGGCGUGCAGGGCAGGGCUGCUUACCUUUGGAGCCGAGAGCACGGAGGAUGUCCACUCGAGCCCGGAGCUGAAGCGCCCGGCCGAAGUAAUUCACCUCGCUGAGGCUGGUACAGUUGCCGUAGGUACACCAGGCGGCCUUCCACACCUGCUUCCCGUUCUGGGCUGGGCAGCUCAAGCUGGGCCAGUAGGCGUUCAAGUCGUCCAACAGAUCGACAAGCUGUGGCAUGCGCAGAGUGAUCAGUGUGGGUCGGGAGCAGCGGAGAUCAUCGACUGCAUAGAUCCAAUCUGGCCUAUUACCGGGUUUAUCAAGAAGCGGCAGUUGGGUUCGCACUUGGCGACGAGCUUGCCGGUGGCGCUGUCGUAGGUCUCCAUGGUCUCCACCAGGAAGUCUGGCUCGGGGUUGCCGAUGAGCGGGUCAACGCAGCAGGUCGGCUUCCCGUUCCACCCUGGCUGGCAGCGAGUCCCCGGCCACUGCAGGAGUCACGAUCCAUUAGACUUCAUUAGCAAUUCACAGUAGGACUCAUCGAUUGCACAAGAAGGGCUUUCUGUAAAGCCGAAACAAAAGAGAGAGAGGAAUAGGUACUCUGAGAGACAGGAUCAUGUAGUCGUAUGAAGCAGCUGCUAGCGCACAAGAGGCGGCGCACAAGAGGAAGCAGAACGUGGGAAGAGCCUUUGAGCCGGCCAUUCCGCAGAGGUGGGAAGGAUGAUCGGGGGAGAUGAUGAGUCUGAUGGCUCUAAAUAAGCACGAAGACACACCCACCCACCCACCGAUAAUUGUUGGGCUACAUCGAUAUUGUUCUCGUGAGUAUAAUAUAAUAUAAUAUAAUGCACCUCGAUUGCGGCAUGGGGGUCGUAAAAUAAUGCACUUCGCUUUAAAUUUCGUACACCAACGUGAAACACGUGGGACGUUCCCGCAUCCCGCAAUCGUAGUGGGUUGGAAAGUGCGAGGAAAAAAAGAAGGAUUUUAUUUGAUUAUGGUCUCUCAUAGCAUAUUAUACUCUUCAUCUAAAUUAGGGAUUAAAAGGCUUCGAGACCAAGCAAGUGAAUAAUAAUAAAAUAAUAUAUUAAAAAAUCGAUCAAGAAAAAAUCCGUAAAAUAUUUUAUUCAUCUUUGAACAUGCUUUCGACCAUGCAUUAUUGAAACAUAUUCGUCCAUUUGAAAUAUCAUAUCUUUAAUCGCAUAUUACAUAUCAUAUGAAUUGGAUAUGUGUACUACCAUUAUUUUCCUUAAAUAAUAAUUUAAAUUUAUUAAAUUAAAAUUUAUGCCUGUGGACAUUAUUGUGUGAUCGGAACUGAGAACGAAGACUCGAACAAUGCAAAGGUCCGUAAGGUCUCGCCGAAUCAUCUUCCUUUGUCUUCCCUUUUACGCCAUCGGCGGUACCGAUGCAUUCGAUCCGGAGCUGGGCCUUCUCCGCCCUGAUCCUGGCUGUCACCGUCCUCUUCUUCUUCUUCUUCGACUGGCCGUCUCCUCCUCUUCAAGAAAUAGCCGGAGAUAUUCCUGGAUCCUUGAAUGACAUCGCUGUGACGGUAGGCCAUGGCUUCGAUUUCUUUCUCUCCCCUUCCUCUUCCCUUACCUUCUUUUCCCUUAGGAUAGGACAUAUUUUGGCCUUAUAUGAACCACCGAUAGACGUUGCAGAUCGACACAACACCGUACGCCUCCAAAACCGUGGGGUGCAUGCCACGUCAAGAGCCAACGAUGCAAUUGUGCGGCUUGACCACCUCAAAAGCUGGGGGCGGUGCCGUCUGCUGCUAGGGCAGUGUCGUCUGACGCCCCUCGAGCACCCUCGAAGAUGUCAUCUUGUCAGAGAGGUUGUUCCGCCCCUAGAGUUAACGACCAUAUCGGACCAGGGCCCGACCAAUUACCGCACGCAGGUAUAAAUACCCCCGACCUGAUCCAAAAAAAAGGGAGAAAAGGAUGAGAGAUUUAGAAUGAAUCUAACUUGCUCGUCGGAGGGGCCAAAGUUGGGACUUACCCUACGAGGGUCUUUUUGCAGAGAGGUAGUCGUCGCUGAGACGCGAAUGUCGUCUUCACACGGACGGUGCCCGGUACGCAGAGGAGGGUGGCCCAACGAGUCGGACUCGACAAGUGUCAGCCCGCAUCUCCCAUCUCCAAGAGGCUUCCACACCACAAGGAGGAUCCCCAACCAUCCGAGGGGAUGAGAGGACGCAUCUUCUCAUGAACAAUGCUCAUAUCGGCCAACUUUGGAAAGCCGGCUCACAGCGAGGCUCAGGCCGACCUUGCCACCUCAACCGGCGCUCAACGCGUUUAAGGGGCGCAACCACUCAAACGAUAGUAAUUCCGCCAGAAGUUCCCGACGUCGGCAGGUGGGCCUAGUCAUGCUGACAUAUUAGUCACGACAUGUUUGUUCACUAACAUUUUGGCCCUAGAAGAAGGGCCCAUGUCGCGGGAAUAGCUGGCAAGAACGUGCCCUGGGAGGGAACCCCCGACCGACCUCCCUUUCGCUGAGCCAGAAGGACAACCCCUCUCUACCCCUAUGGACGGAGGGAUACCGAUUUCAACGCUUGAUCGUUACUGGCGCUUGUUCAACGACCCGGGACUAUCCCCCCCGGGGCUCACCCCGGGGGGCCCGGCUGUGAUGCCCGAGGCAUUCCUUAGCCUAACCAAGCAAGUAUAGACCAUGACAGGCAUGAUGCACUCACUCGCCCCGAUCACUCCCCAAAUCGGGCAGCCCUCGAUGCCCUCGACCGAUCCGACCCGGCAACCCCCGAACGGGGAACAGCUCGGGGUUGGGCCAGCCUCGUGGCGAGCAACGGACCCGAGGGGUCCUCCCGUGCAAAAUGCGCCCACAGCUUGCUGAGCCACCCCAUCUCAUCUAGAGCCCGAUACUAUAUCAUCUGACUCGGCGAACGACUCACUCAGAGCUCAGUUGUCCCGGGUCAAUCAGCACCUGGACGAGUUCCAGCGUGAGCUUUGGAGAUUGCGUAGUGAGCCUAGCGAGGGCGCUUUGGUUGGGUCCCUCUUUACCCAAGAAGUACAAGAUAAGCCGGUCCCCCUCAACUUCAGGUUCCCGACAUUAGAAACGUACGAUGGAGGCUCGAUCCCAUGGAGCAUGUCUUUGUAUUCCGGGCCUAGAUGGCCCUCUAUGGUGCCUCCGAUGUGCUGAUGUGCCGAGUGUUUCCGACCACUCUGCGUGGCCCGGCGUGGACAUGGUUCAGCCGGCUGUGUCAAGCUUCAGUCUCGUCCUUCGACCAGGUGGUCGAGGAAUUUGAGCAAAGCUUCCUCACCGGCGCACGGCCCAGGCCCUCCAUGGCCACUUUGCUUGCACUAUCUCAGCACGAGGACGAGUCGCUCUCUCAGUUCGUGGCACGGUUCACACUAAGAUCCGAGGUUUUUCAGAUACUCACCCUUCUCUAAUCUUGCAAGCCUUUAUGAUGGGUCUUAAACCUUUAAGGUUCUUAUGGUCGUUGAUCGAGAAGCCGCCAGCGACCAUCUCUGAGAUGCUUCUACGUGCCAACCAGUACAUUGCCGUCGAGGCUUUAGUGGCGGGGAGGCACGUGGAAGGCAAGAAGCUCAGGAUGGAGCUGUCUCGAGGAACGGCCUCGGCGUUCCCGACGCCUCCCCGCCGGGGGCUCAACCGACAAGAGCUGCUACUCCCAAGACCCCCACCUCUCCCCCUAAACACAUCCCGUUCCGAGAUCUUCCUCUAGAUCAAAGAGACGAGCCUCUUGCAGCAGCCUUGCCCUAUGAAGGCCGCCCACAGAGACCAAUCUAAAUACCGUGGGGAUCCGUCGGCACACCCCGGAGGUGGGGGAGAAGUGAUAGGGCAUAUUUUGGCUCUAGAUGAAUCACCAACAAAUGUCACAAACCAAUAGCCACGAACGCAAUGCCAUGCGCCACCAGAACCACGGGGUGCAUGCCACGUCAAGUUCGGUACUAUGUGAUUGUGCGACUUGACCACCCCAAGAGCUCGGGGCGGUGUCGUCUACUUUUGGGACAGUGCCGUCUGACGCCACUCAAGCACCCCCAAGGAUGCCAUCUCGUCAAAGAAGUUAUCCCACCCCCAUGAAAGUUAGCGGCCACGCCGAACUGAGGCACAACCAACUCUCGCACGCAAGUAUAAAUACCCCCGUCCGAUCCCGAUGAGAGAAGAAAAAAAGGAGGAAGAAAAAACAGGGGAAUCCGAACUAAUCUAACUUGCUUGUCGGUGGGGCCAAAGUCGAGAGACACUCGACGAAGACCGUUUUGCAGGGAGGUGAUCGCCACUGAGCUGCGAGCGUCUCCACCCUGAAGUUGUCACCUAAUGCGCAGAGGAGGGUGGUCCAGUGGUUCGGAUCCCAACCAGCGCCGGCCUGCAUCUCCCAUCUCAAGGGUGUGCCCACGUCGCGGGGAAAGAUUGCCAACUAUCCCGGGGAUGAGAGGACACAUCUCGCCAGAAGCGACGCUCAGGUCGGCUAGCUUUGGAGUGCUAACCCCCAGCCGCUCGCGAGGACCCGACCGACCCUACCGCCUCAACCCUCGCUCGUAACGCUCGAGAGGCGCAACCAUCUCAUCAUCCUACUCAUUCCACUAGAAGUUUCCGACGUCGGUCCGUGGACCAAACUGUGAUGUCUCAUCAGCCAUGGUACUUUUGUUCACUAACAGACAUCAAACAUAUGGGAAUUUUACCUUCAUUAAUUAAAAUCCCAACUUGUUCAUGACCGGUAAUAUGCUAUGUGAUUAUUUGAUUAAUCUUAGAGACAGAGAUCAUAAAACAUCAUCUUAUUCCAGCAUAUGGCAAGACGAUGAUGACAUCCUACACACAGGCAAAUCAUCGUGUUUUAGUGCCAAGAUGAUGAUGAUGAUAUCCGCAUGACAUCGUACACAUAUCGCCUUGUCCGAUGGCAACUUGAUAUGGCCGGCCGCCGGAUGGCGCGGGCGCCCGAGCAUGUCGUCCGUGAACGGGUAGAACUUGACCUUGCUGCCGCAGUUGCUCUUCCUGGCGAAGGGACAACCGAUGAUAGACUUGCCGUCGGCGGAGACGCAGAUGCGGACUCUGGAGAGCAGGUAUUCCCGACUCAGCACGCCCAUCUCCGUGGUGCACUCCACCACCGCCGAGAACCCGAUCUUGGGCACCAGCGCGUCCUCGAUGUCCUCCAAACUGUAGCUCUUCGUCUCCGACGGGAUGAUGGCUUGAGAUCAGGAACCGAUCCAUGCGUUAGCUGCAGACACUUGUAAGCUCGAGGUCGGCAUGCAGGGCAGGGCUGCUUACCUUUGGAGCCGAGGGCAUGGAGGACGUCGGCUCGAGCCCGGAGCUGAAGCGCCCGGCCGAAGUAAUUCACCUCGCUGAGGCUGGUACAGUUGCCGAAGGUACACCAGGCGGCCUUCCACACCUGCUUCCCGUUCUGGGCUGGGCAGCUCAAGCUGGGCCAGUAGGCGUACAAGUCGUCCAACAGAUCGACAAGCUGUGGCAUGAGCAGAGUGAUCAGUGUGGGUCGGGAGCAGCGGAGAUCAUCGACUGCAUACAUCUAAUCUGGCCUAUUACCGGGUUUAUCAAGAAGCGGCAGUUGGGUUCGCACUUGGCGACGAGCUUGCCGGUGGCGCUGUCGUAGGUCUCCAUGGUCUCCACCAGGAAGUCUGGCUCGGGGUUGUCGAUGAGCGGGUCAACGCAGCAGGCCGGCUUCCCGGUCCACCCUGGCUGGCAGCUAGUCCCCGGCCACUGCACGAGUCACGAUCCAUUAGACUUCAUUAGCAGUUCACCGCAGGAGUCAUCGUUUGCACAAGAAAGGCUUUCUGUAAAGCCGAAACAAAAGAGAGAGAGAGAGAGAGAGAGAGAGAGAGAGGAAUUAGGUACUAUGAGAGACAGGAUCAUGUAGUCGUAUGAAGCAGCUGCUAGCGCACAAGAGGCGGCACACAAGAGGAAGCAGAACGUGGGAAGAGCCUUUGAGCCAGCCAUUCUGCAGAGGUGGGGAGGAUGAUCGGGGGAGA